UUAGUACUCCCACCAUCCGGAAAAGCUUGUCUCAAGCUUGUUUCUCAAAUGGAUGUAUCUAUCACUAAUUUGAUGCUAAAUACAUCUAUUUGAGGGACAAGCUUUUUCGGACGGAAGGAGUACAAC
rfam:Triticum urartu cultivar G1812 contig1102308, whole genome shotgun sequence.